rnacentral:rRNA from 1 species
GACGAACGCUGGCGGCGUGCCUAAUACAUGCAAGUCGAGCGGACUUUAAGAGUGCUUGCGCACUUAAAGUUAGCGGCGAACGGGUGAGUAACACGUAAAGAACCUACCUUAUAGACAGGGACAACUAUUGGAAACGAUAGCUAAUACCUGAUAAGAAAGAAACUCGCAUGAGAGAAAAUCGAAAGUCGGAGCAAUCUGACACUAUAAGAUGGCUUUGCGGUGCAUUAGCUAGUUGGUAGGGUAAAAGCCUACCAAGGCGACGAUGCAUAGCCGACCUGAGAGGGUGAUCGGCCACAUUGGGACUGAGACACGGCCCAGACUCCUACGGGAGGCAGCAGUAGGGAAUCUUCCGCAAUGGACGAAAGUCUGACGGAGCAACGCCGUGUGAGUGAAGAAGGAUUUCGGUUCGUAAAACUCUGUUGUUAGGGAAGAAAAAAUGUAUAGUAACUAUAUACAAAAGAGACGGUACCUAACCAGAAAGCCACGGCUAACUACGUGCCAGCAGCCGCGGUAAUACGUAGGUGGCAAGCGUUGUCCGGAAUUAUUGGGCGUAAAGCGCGCGCAGGUGGUUUAGAAAGUCUGAUGUGAAAGCCCACGGCUCAACCGGGGAGGGUCAUUGGAAACUGGGAGAACUUGAGUGCAGAAGAGGAGAGUGGAAUUUCCACGUGUAGCGGUGAAAUGCGUAGAUAUGUGGAGGAACACCAGUGGCGCAGGCGACUCUCUGGUCUGUACUGACGCUGAGGCUCGAAAGGUGCGGAGCAAACAGG